rnacentral:rRNA from 1 species
UACGUAGGGUGCGAGCGUUAAUCGGAAUUACUGGGCGUAAAGGGUGCGCAGGCGGCUUUGCAAGACAGGUGUGAAAUCCCCGGGCUCAACCUGGGAACUGCAUUUGUGACUGCAAGGCUAGAGUACGGCAGAGGGGGAUGGAAUUCCGCGUGUAGCAGUGAAAUGCGUAGAUAUGCGGAGGAACACCAAUGGCGAAGGCAAUCCCCUGGGCCUGUACUGACGCUGAUGCACGAAAGCGUGGGGAGCAAACAGG